rnacentral:tRNA from 1 species
GCUUUAGAAAGAUAACAGCCAUCUAUU